AGUGCAGGAGAUCAAAGUGAAAUGAGGGACUUUUCAGUAAGAAUCCGGGACUGCGGGCUGAGCUAUCCGCGAAAAUCGGAACAGUUUAGAGUUCGGACAAAAAUGUGCAGAAGUCCGUCUGUCGUUCAUUUGGAUGUCUGCACCUGAUUACGUGCAAGUGUGCUGCCCCUUAUUGAUGUUGAGCGCAAAGGGAUCCCUGGAGCUACCGCCUAUUCAUUAGGUGGUGGAAGCUCCAGUGUUCCCCCAGGUAAAUAGGUGCAGCAGCACUUGAUUUGAAAGGCAGAAAGGACUGAGCUGCCCAACUAUACGGAAGUGCAAGGAGCACAUUUUGAUGGAGUACCUUUAAUGAAAGUGGUGGUAUGCGCAACUGACUGCGGGAAAUUUACUGCACUUGAAGACAUAAGUGAUCCCUUAUGUGUUUUGCUGAAUUUUCCUUCUAAGUAAAAUGAGAGUGAUUGCAUUCUCACAGGUCUAAUACUAAGAAUGUAGCUAAUUACCUUGUACAUUUCUGUGAGUAAGGUGCAACUUGUCAGUGUGGCAAUGUGUGGCAAUAGCAUGUAAUUUUCUUUUAACAAGUCAGUAACAGCUAUUGAUGCAACCCAUUAGUGAUGUUACCACCAUGUCCAGUCUAGUGGUAAUUCAAUUUACUUGCAUUAAUGCCAGCACUUUUUAUCUGGGGAGGUUGGGGGAGUGCAAAUGGCUUUUUCUGCAAGUACUUAAGUUAAGGAACUUAUAUGACUAGUGCUGUACCUAUUAUGAGUCAUUAAUGCUCAAUUUGACUUUAUUUAAAACUUGCAAUUGUA